CCAUCGUCUUGGAUGUGAGUAGUUUUAGUUUAUUGUUUGGCAACUAAGCAACUGGUCAACUGUCAUUUCAGUUUGAAUUUAGCCGGCUAAGAGAAGAGGUCGAUUAUUCUGGUUAGCUCGGUGAUUGUACCCUUCCUGCAAGUCAAAUAGACAUAUCUAUCGACAGCAUCUGGUCAAAUGGACGAAUUGUGGCGGCUGUUUCAAGUUUAUCUAAUGGAAGCAAGAAGUAUCAUAAUACACGUUAUAUUAUUUAUCUUACUCUAGGCUUUUAUCAUGAUAUUCCCAGGGUCGAUCAUUUAUUAUCCAGUUUGUACAGUAAUUUAUUUUCUAAAUAUCCUGUAUAUACGAUACUUCUGAUAUACAUGAUAUUUGCUUAAGUAGAUCUAAGUUUUACAAGUAUGACAUCAACACUCUGGGCCCAUCUCUUUUAUUAACACCAUAUUAACCUACCUGUCUUUACCUCUCUGUUAGGGAUAAGAUGUCAUAUUCAGUAAUUCUGAUCUUCUUUUUGAUUUCGUUUGACGUAAUCUUAACUUAUAUUCCUAAUUUCUCUUGAGGGCCUAGUAAGAUAAUCGGGUGGACGCAAUAUAACGUGUUUCUAUGGUAAGCUUAGAUGUAUAGGUGAUAGAUGAUUGUACAGAAUAUACAAAUACAGGACCAGGGCAGGUAGAUAUGUUUAAAAGGGAUGGACAAUGGAGAUGGCAGUUGAUGGUUAAAACAGCAUUGACAGGGGUGUGUACUGAAGGAUUGAUGGAGACUAAGACAGUUUUGCAGAUCAACGACUUUUCAUGGUCCUUCAACAUGGAUAAGGUAGCGGCGGAGGAUGUACACCAGAUAGACUGUGUACUAAGCCUGGUGGCCGUACAGAAUGGUGGAUACAGAUUGGUGGAAACAGAUUGAUGAAUGCAGACAUUUCAGCGGUGGAGGAGGUACCUACAGAGUGGUAGAUGCAAGCAUUGCAGUGGCGGUGAAGGAGUUUCAAGAGAUUAGUGAUGGGUGCGAUUUUCAAUGCACCUAGCCUGGUGGAGUUACAUAUUGAUAACUGCCGAUUGAUAGACACAGAAUAGAUGAUGCAGAAUGGCGGACACAGAUGGAUGGAUGCAGGCAAGGCAGCGGUGGAGGAUGUGCACAAGUACUAAGCCUGGCGGCGCUACAGAAUGGUGGACACAGAUUGGUGGAAACAGAUUGAUGAAUGCAGACAUUUCAGUGGUGAAGGAGGUACAUAUAGAGUGGUAGAUGCAAGCAUUGCAGUGGCGGUGAAGGAGUUUCAAGAGAUAAGUGAUGGGUGCGAUUAUUAAUGGUGUGUGAAGGAUGGAUAGAAUUGGAGACAAGCAAUUAAAAAGAUCAAAGACUGUUCACGGAUUUUCAGCAUGGAUAUGUUAGAUUGGCAAUAACAGGUUAAUUAUAGUAAUGAAUCACGUUUCAUCAUUGGCUUUUAUUGAAGGUUGGAGGGUUAAAAAAACGGGGGAACCAACUCAAAUGUUAUCAGACGGUUUUUAUAACUGUUUUCAGAAGAACACAGGAACGGUCCUAUCGGGGACUUAUGUUCACUUUCCUGUGAAAAAUAUUGCUUGUACAUAGAAAACAUGACGUUCUUAGUAUAACAUUCAGCUGUGAGUUCAAUUUUUGUGUCCGGCGAGUGCGUUUUUGUCAAUUCGAUCUGCAUUUUGCGUUUUUCUUCAUAUCUACUCUCGAAAGCCCAUAACUAAUCUUUGGAUAUGGAACUCGGAUACACGUCGUCAUCUCUAGUUUAUCUCUAAGCAGGGAGUUUUAGAGUUUGUUUUUUGUUGAUAGUUCGUCAGGUGGUGUGGCAUUGUUAGGUUUAAUUGUGGUUUGAUUUACUUCUUAGAGAUUUCUAGAGAUCACCAUUUGCCUCUUGACUUAGAGGUUAUUGGUGUUCGUUCCUGGAAGUCAUUUCCCCGUUUGCCUCUUUCCAGAGACAAACAGUUCUCAUUAUAGCCGCCAAUAGUUUCACGUUCCGUGUUUUGUCCGGCGUGUGCGUUUUUCGUUUGGUUAUGUUGGCCAGUGGGGCGAGUGUGUUUGCGUUUUUCUUCAUAUCUAUUCUCGUCAGUCUAUACCUAAUCUUUGAAUAUGGAUCCCGGAUACACUUUCUCAUCUCUAGUUGAUCUCUAAGCAGGGAGUUGGUCUGUUAGGAUUGUGGUUUGUUUUACUUUUUAGAGAUUUCUAGAGACAAUUCGUUCUCGGUAUAGCCGUUAGUUUUCUUUCGCUUGUCCACCGAGUGUGUUUUUCUUUUGAACGUCGAUUGCGUUUUUCUAUAUCUAUUGUCAUCUUUGGAUAUGGACCUCGGACACACCUUGUCUCUAGUUGAUCUCUAUGAAGGGAGUUUUAUAAUUUGCUUAUCACUGGUUGUUUUCAGUUUGGGAAAACCUAUCCGUUAAGGGGUGAGGCAUCAUUGAUUUGUUGGAAUUUUCAGUGUUUUGAUUUACUACUCAGAGAUUUCUAGAGAUUUCGCCAUUUGCCACGUCUUAGUGGCUAUUGGCGUUUGUGUUGCGUUUGCGUUUUACUCCCACCUCUCCUCUUUUCUCUAGGGGUGAGUUGUAGAAUUUGCGGGAUUUAUUUUGGUGGUUCUGUCCGGGUUAGAGAUCAACAACUGUCAUAGCCCAUCUACCAAGCUAAAUAAAUUAAUCAAGCAGAAGGAUUCAGGCCACUGGUGGUCUACGCUGGCACACAUCAAAUAUUUGGGACCAUUUCUUCGUGGAUUUAAGCCAACACCUUCUCUAAAAGCCAAUGUAUCUAAAUCAAGUCACUUAUAAAUUAAAUAAUUCGUUAUUGGAUGAUCAAUAACCACUUCUAUUAAUAAACCUGUUAUUGCUGAGGUAUCAUUUUUCCUUAUGAAAAAUUUAGAAACAUUUAGGGUUAAGCUAACAUUUUGUCCAUUAUUAGCUUAAAUAAUUUUAAAUUAAAUGAAUGUUUAGUUGUAUUUUAAUGUAUUGUGGUCAAAAUUGAGAAAACACUUCUGUUUGAUCGUAACAAGUUGGAAAAUCCUACCUCCCCCGUAUUAAUAGUGAGUUAAUUUUGGGUAGCCGGCUCUAAAUACUGACCACUAUGUCACCCGAUCAAAUAUUAAUACUACCUAGAAAGGGACAAGAACGAAAUAAAUCGGUCUAUAAGUAGGUAAACUGCAACCCGUUUUUACUGUUAGAUAAAUUUAUGACCUUCUAGGCGGAUAUAAACGGGUGUAUAUGUACAUUUUUGUUUCAAUAUUUUCGAUAUAAAUAUCCACGUUUAUAUUAUUGUCAGCAGUCUUGGGUAACUACGCUCUAAGGGCGUAUAAUCGGGUCGAAAUUCAAAAUUAUGUACUUUGAUUAUGCCGAUGUUAUAUGGGACCGGUGCACUGACUACUUAUGUAAUAAUCUCGAAUACCUUCAACUUGACGCACUACGCACUAUCUGCGGGGCAGUUAAGGGUACUAGCCAUGCUUCACUCUACGAAGAAACUGGGUUUAUUCCACUCAAAGAAAUACGAAAUCGACAUAAAUUAAAACUAAUUUACAAAAUCAUCAAUAACCUGACCCCUCCUUAUCUUUAAAAUCUCAUAAACCUUGAAUCUACAAACAAAUAUUUCCUUCGAAAUAAAGACAAAUUAAAUGACAUUCGAUGUCGUACUAAAAGUUUUGCUAAAUCAUUUAUCACAUCCAAUAUAAGAGAGUGGAAUAAACUCAGUACCCCUGCAAGGAAUUCUAGAACUCUGAUGAAAAUGUUCUCCGAUCAUCUAUCCAAAUCUGAUAUCAAAGUUCCUUCAUUUUAUUAUAACAGUCAGCGAAAGCCUCAAAUAACUCAUUGUAAAUUACGACUUCGAUGCUCUGACCUGCAUGGUCACAAAUUCCUAAGACAUGUUGCCGACAGUCCCGCAUGCCUCUGCGGUCAUAUAUUUGAAGAUCCCGAUCGUUACAUUCUGCGAUGUUCCUUACAUUCAAAAGUACGAACAGAAACCAUAGGCAAAUUACAACAUGAUUUUAAAAAUAUAAACGGUCUUUUAUUCGGUUCCACAAUCUACAGUCUUGAUGUUAACAAUAAUAUUUUUAAUCAGGUCCACAAGUUUAUAGAUAUGUCAAACAGAUUUUAAUCUUGAUCAAAUAAUACUUUAUCGUCUAUUGUAUGUAUAAUUUUGGCUUGCCUCUCUAAUGUUGCCUAUUAUUAGAAAGAUCUUACUAUGCUUGUAUAUGUAUAAUUAUUGACUACUAUAUAUACUGUACAUUUCACCCAGUUUAUAUUUAUACUCUUCAAAAAAGUAGGGAUUAUUGAAAUGCAAAUACCUAUGCAGGUUGCGAUAUGAUAAAUAGUCAUGGACAUUUGACAAGCUUUGAGAGUAUGUUCACAGAUGAAGAACUUAUCGCCCCAACAGAACCACUGAGCUGCACAUGCGACACGCAAACGCGCCAUAGACGUGGGAGUGGUUCAUUGUCAAAUUUGACACUUCAAGGAAGGGUUGAUGAAAACUGCCGCGUGCUGGUUUAUAUAUCCAUGUUUGCUUUCCUAUUGGUUCUUGCAUAAGAUUUGCUGUUUAUCGUAUCUUUGCUUUAGUGUGUUACGUUUAAUUUGUUCGGGAGACGUGUUCGUCAACGUCAACCGACAAUACUGCAAGAAUUGGCCGUGGCACUGCAAGAGGAGUGGGUCAGAUUGCCCAAAAUCGUGAUUGGACGGUUGAUAAGGAGCAUGCCACGACGAAUUGCUGAAUGUCUGAGGAUUGGUGGAGCAAUUACUCAUUAUUAAGACAAAAAUCAAAAACGUCCAUUUUCACUUUUGACGGUGUAUCUCUUUGCGAGUGAAAUGGGGCCGUCAGAUAAGCCGCCCAUACGAACUGUUCAUAUGUAGGCAAUUGGUCUGUUAUUAACAUACACUGGUUACCUCUAUUAAAAACAGCAGUGCAUUUCCGCAGUUUUGU